rnacentral:rRNA from 1 species
AGCUCCAAUAGCGUAUAUUAAUGUUGUUGCAGUUAAAAGCUCGUAGUUGGAUUUCUGCUGGGUCCGGCCGGUCCGCCUCGCGAGAGGUGCGCACUAGCGCCGCGCCCCGGCAUCCUUGCAGAGAGCGUGCCUGGCAUUAAGUUGUCGGGUUCGGGAUCUGCAUCGUUUACUGUGAAAAAUUGAGUGUUUAAAGCAGGCAUUUGCUGUGAAUACAUUAGCAUGGAAUAAUAAGAUAGGACUUUGGUGCUAUUUUGUUGGUUUGCACACCAAGGUAAUGAUUAACAGGGACAGUUGGGGGUAUUCAUAUUUAAUUGUCAGAGGUGAAAUUCUUGGAUUUAUGAAAGAUGAACCUAUGCGAAAGCAUUUACCAAGGAUGUUUUCA